rnacentral:rRNA from 1 species
GACGAACGCUGGCGGCGUGCCUAAUACAUGCAAGUCGAACGAACUCUGGUAUUGAUUGGUGCUUGCAUCAUGAUUUACAUUUGAGUGAGUGGCGAACUGGUGAGUAACACGUGGGAAACCUGCCCAGAAGCGGGGGAUAACACCUGGAAACAGAUGCUAAUACCGCAUAACAACUUGGACCGCAUGGUCCGAGUUUGAAAGAUGGCUUCGGCUAUCACUUUUGGAUGGUCCCGCGGCGUAUUAGCUAGAUGGUGGGGUAACGGCUCACCAUGGCAAUGAUACGUAGCCGACCUGAGAGGGUAAUCGGCCACAUUGGGACUGAGACACGGCCCAAACUCCUACGGGAGGCAGCAGUAGGGAAUCUUCCACAAUGGACGAAAGUCUGAUGGAGCAACGCCGCGUGAGUGAAGAAGGGUUUCGGCUCGUAAAACUCUGUUGUUAAAGAAGAACAUAUCUGAGAGUAACUGUUCAGGUAUUGACGGUAUUUAACCAGAAAGCCACGGCUAACUACGUGCCAGCAGCCGCGGUAAUACGUAGGUGGCAAGCGUUGUCCGGAUUUAUUGGGCGUAAAGCGAGCGCAGGCGGUUUUUUAAGUCUGAUGUGAAAGCCUUCGGGUUCCACCGAAAAAAGGGCAUGGAAACUGGGAAACUUGAGUGCAGAAGAGGACAGUGGAACUCCCAUGUGUUACGGUGAAAUGCGUAGAUAUAUGGAAGAACACCAGUGGCGGAGGCGGCUGUCUGGUCUGUAACUGACGCUGAGGCUCGAAAGUAUGGGUAGCAAACAGGAUUAGAUACCCUGGUAGUCCAUACCGUAAACGAUGAAUGCUAAGUGUUGGAGGGUUUCCGCCCUUCAGUGCUGCAGCUAACGCAUUAAGCAUUCCGCCUGGGGAGUACGGCCGCAAGGCUGAAACUCAAAGGAAUUGACGGGGGCCCGCACAAGCGGUGGAGCAUGUGGUUUAAUUCGAAGCUACGCGAAGAACCUUACCAGGUCUUGACAUACUAUGCAAAUCUAAGAGAUUAGACGUUCCCUUCGGGGACAUGGAUACAGGUGGUGCAUGGUUGUCGUCAGCUCGUGUCGUGAGAUGUUGGGUUAAGUCCCGCAACGAGCGCAACCCUUAUUAUCAGUUGCCAGCAUUAAGUUGGGCACUCUGGUGAGACUGCCGGUGACAAACCGGAGGAAGGUGGGGAUGACGUCAAAUCAUCAUGCCCCUUAUGACCUGGGCUACACACGUGCUACAAUGGAUGGUACAACGAGUUGCGAACUCGCGAGAGUAAGCUAAUCUCUUAAAGCCAUUCUCAGUUCGGAUUGUAGGCUGCAACUCGCCUACAUGAAGUCGGAAUCGCUAGUAAUCGCGGAUCAGCAUGCCGCGGUGAAUACGUUCCCGGGCCUUGUACACACCGCCCGUCACACCAUGAGAGUUUGUAACACCCAAAGUCGGUGGGGUAACCUUUUAGGAACCAGCCGCCUAAGGUGGGACAGAUGAUUAGGGUGAAG